UACGAAGGGGGCUAGCGUUGCUCGGAAUCACUGGGCGUAAAGCGCACGUAGGCGGAUUUCUAAGUCAGGGGUGAAAUCCUGGAGCUCAACUCCAGAACUGCCUUUGAUACUGGGAAUCUCGAGUCCGGGAGAGGUGAGUGGAACUGCGAGUGUAGAGGUGAAAUUCGUAGAUAUUCGCAAGAACACCAGUGGCGAAGGCGGCUCACUGGCCCGGUACUGACGCUGAGGUGCGAAAAGCGUGGGGAGCAAACAGG
rnacentral:rRNA from 1 species